GUGCUCCUAACUGCUCCAGAUUCAUUGGUUGUUUCAUUAGCAAAGCAUGACACACGAUAUGAUGAGGAAAGUGCACCAACUUCCAGAAAAGGUCGUGCACAGGGUUUUGGCAUCGAUGCACUUGAUGCGCUUAACUUCACGUAUAAGGUGUCUUGGCCUCUUGAUCUAAUUGCCAAUGCGGAGGCUCUGAAGAAGUAUAAUAAGGUCAUGGGAUUCUUACUGAAAGUCAAGCGUGCAAAGUUUGUUUUGGACGAAACCCGAAAGUGGAUGUGGAAGGGCAGAGGCAGCACAGCACAUAAUUUUAAACAACACUUGAUAGUAGGGCAGAAGCUCCUGCAUUUUGUCGAUGCAUUUCAUCAAUAUGUCAUGGAUCGAGUGUAUCAUAGUGCCUGGACUAAGUUUUGUGAUGGCAUGGCAUCCGCUACUACAUUGGACGAAGUCAUGGAAGUUCAUGAGGCAUAUCUUUCUUCUAUUCAGAGACAAUGCUUUGUGGCCUCGGAUAAGUUGUGGGCUCUGAUCGCCAGUCGAGUCAAGACCAUACUAGGAUUGGCGCUAGACUUCCACAAUGUGGAGCAAACUCUUGGCACCGGAGGGACUGCCGCAUCUGUUAGGGCAAGAUGCGAGAUGGAGUUGGAUGGGAUCGAGAAGCAAUUCGACGAGUGCGUCGUGUUCCUCUUGAGGAUCCUAUCUUUCAAGCUCAACGUGGGCCACUUUCCCCAUCUCGCGGAUUUGGUCACGAGGAUCAACUACAACCACUAUUACAUGUCUGACACCGGAAGCUUCACUGCGAUCCCUGGGCCCCGCCCUCGGCAGUAG
rnacentral:rRNA from 1 species